GACGAACGCUGGCGGCGUGCUUAACACAUGCAAGUCGAACGGAAAGGCCUGCUUUCCCUUGUGGAUUGCGGGUACUCGAGUGGCGAACGGGUGAGUAACACGUGAGUGAUCUGCCCCCAACUUGGGUAUAAGCCUGGGAAACUGGGUCUAAUUCCCGAUAGGACUGCAGGGUGGUGCCUGUGGUGGAAAACGAUUUUCUAGUGGUUGGGGAUGAGCUCGCGGCCUAUCAGCUUGUUGGUGGGGUAAUGGCCUACCAAGGCGGCGACGGGUAGCCGGCCUGAGAGGGUGGACGACCACAUUGGGACUGAGAUACGGCCCAGACUCCUACGGGAGGCAGCAGUGGGGAAUAUUGCACAAUGGGCGGAAGCCUGAUGCAGCGACGCCGCGUGGGGGAUGACGGCCUUCGGGUUGUAAACUCCUUUCGACCGCGAGGAAGCCACCUGGUUGGAAGGGUGGUGACGGUAGUGGUAGAAGAAGCACCGGCUAACUACGUG
rnacentral:rRNA from 1 species